rnacentral:rRNA from 1 species
UACGAAGGGGGCUAGCGUUGUUCGGAAUUACUGGGCGUAAAGCGCACGUAGGCGGACUAUUAAGUCAGGGGUGAAAUCCCGGGGCUCAACCCCGGAACUGCCUUUGAUACUGGUAGUCUCGAGUCCGGAAGAGGUGAGUGGAAUUCCGAGUGUAGAGGUGAAAUUCGUAGAUAUUCGGAGGAACACCAGUGGCGAAGGCGGCUCACUGGUCCGAUACUGACGCUGAGGCACGAAAGCGUGGGGAGCAAACAGG